rnacentral:lncRNA from 1 species
AUGGGGCAUCCUCGGAGGGGUCGCAAGGAGCAAGCUCAGCUCCCGAAGGCACAUCCAUGGGAGCUGCCUCCUUCCCUGAGCUUCCAAGCGGCUCCAAGCCCAAACCAGCCCCUCGGCUCCUCCACUGCCUCCAGGAUGCUGCUCGGAGCCAGCCCAUCCUCAGGGAUGGAUCCUGCACCCACAUCCCAAUGGGGUCCCGGCCCUCCCAUUGCCACCAACAGCAUCGCUCCUGGACCUUGCGCUUCUUGCGGCAGUUGCACUGGCCCAUGGCUGCUCCGGCUCCUCACUGGUGCUGCUGGGCUGUCCUCUCCAAGGGAGCUGCAGGAGAGAGCCGGGCUCAGCAAUGGGAUUGGGAGGGAAGGUUCCCGUCCGUCAGCGCAGGGAUGGGAUGCGGGAGCUGCCGGGACACGUCCCAAUGGGAACGAGUCAUGGCAAAGCCAACGGGAGCAGGAUGGGUCUGCUGGGAACCCCCAUCCCCUGUGCUGGUGCCGGGUCACUCACCUGCUGCCGGGGCUGUGCUGCUGUGCGCGGGCUGUGGUGCGCAGGGGUUUUAUACUGGGAGGUGUGAGUGGGAGCUCCCGGCUGCGGUGUGGGGCAAGGCCUGAUCCCGAGCCUGGCCCUAAGCCAGCGUGGGGCUGGAACCGCCUCCUUCCAGCCACAGGGAUGGCUCCAAUAGGCAAGGAUGGGAUGGUUGGAGCCGCGUGGGAACAGCCGCCGGGUACCCCAUGGAGGGGGUUGGGGGGUCCCCAGCAAUGCCAGGGUCUGGGAGCUGGGUGCUGCCAAUGGAACCGGUUCGAGGGUUCCCAGCAAUGCCAGGGUCUGGGAGCUGGGUGCUGCCAAUGGAACUGGUUUGGGGUCCCCAGCAAUGCCAGGGUCUGGGAGCUGGGUGCUGCCAAUGGAAUCGGUUUGGGGGUCCCAACAAUGCCAGGGUCUGGGAGCUGGAUGCUGCCAAUGGAAUCGGUUUGGGGAUCCCCAGCAAUGCCAGGGUCUGGGUCCUGCCAAUGGAACUGGUUUGGGGUCCCCAGCAAUGCCAGGGUCUGGGAGCUGGAUGCUGCCAAUGGAACCGGUUUGGGGGUCCCAACAAUGCCAGGGUCUGGGAGCUGGAUGCUGCCAAUGGAAUCGGUUUGGGGAUCCCCAGCAAUGCCAGGGUCUGGGUCCUGCCAAUGGAACUGGUUUGGGGUCCCCAGCAAUGCCAGGGUCUGGGAGCUGGGUCCUGCCAAUGGAACUGGUUUGGGGGUCCCAACAAUGCCAGGGUCUGGGAGCUGGAUGCUGCCAAUGGCAGCUCAGUUUGGGGCAUUGGGAGAUGCUGCUCCCACCAAUGCUACCCAAGGGGAUGAGCACUGA